rnacentral:rRNA from 1 species
UACAGAGGUCUCAAGCGUUGUUCGGAUUCAUUGGGCGUAAAGGGUGUGUAGGUGGCGCCGUAAGUCGGGUGUGAAAUUUCGGAGCUUAACUCCGAAACUGCAUUCGAUACUGCGGUGCUUGAGGACUGGAGAGGAGACUGGAAUUCAUGGUGUAGCAGUGAAAUGCGUAGAUAUCUGGAGGAAUACCGGUGGCGAAGGCGGCAUCCUGGACCGACAUUGACGCUGAGGAGACGAAAGGCUAGGGGAGCAAAGCGGG